GUUAAGUACGUGUCAACUGAGGCCAUUGAUCGACCAUCAGAGACAGUAAGGACCAUCUAAUUCAGAGUCAACUCCUGCACAGUAAAAGUUCCUCCUGUUCUGUCAACAUGACAAGCGCCUUGGAAGAACUACAGGAAGAGGGGCGUAACAUCAGCAAUCCCUCUGCCCAGAUGUUCAUCCGCCGCUGUCACUGUACCUGGCAGAGAGCCCCGGCCACUCUGUUGAAGACCACAUCCAGAUCCCUCCUCCCCGUGUCAUCGAUUUCCAUCCGGCGUACAUGGUGAGACGCCUUCUGAGUGUUCGACCACGGGACAGGGGUUUCUAGUACUUGGUUGACUGGGAGGGUUAUGGCCCGGAGGAGAGAUACUGGGUCCCUGCUAAAGACAUCCUAAAUGAAUUGUUUAGUAAUAGGGCAUUUUUUAUAUUUUCAUAAUUAAUAGGCUGACACAGUACCUUUAGCUAUACAGAAUAUCUCACCACCCUGUGUUUCCUUCUCCUCCCCUCUCUCCUUCAUUCCUUUCUCAAGCACACAGAGUGAUGGGCUGUCAGCAGUUUAAUGAAGUAUGUUUCGUUGUGAAAACAUGUUACUAUCGAUGUUCCCAAACAGAUUUCACUUGGUUUCCCAAAUGAAGUCCUGGGAAGCUGCUGGAAAAGGGUGGCGAGCCCAUGACAUACAGUUUGGGCGAAAUACCACCUGUUGUGUGGAG
ensembl:lncRNA